rnacentral:rRNA from 1 species
GCCGCUCUGGGCUUGGAAUUGACGCUGAGGAGCGAAAGUGUGGGUAGCAAACAGGAUUAGAUACCCUGGUAGUCCACACCGUAAACGUUGGGCACUAGGUGUGGGGGAGGAAUCAACCCUUUCCGUGCCGUAGCUAACGCAUUAAGUGCCCCGCCUGGGGAGUACGGCCGCAAGGCUAAAACUCAAAGGAAUUGGCGGGGGCCCGCACAAGCGGCGGAGCAUGUUGCUUAAUUCGAGGCAACGCGAAGAACCUUACCUAGGUUGAACUACGCAGGAAUAGCCACAGAGAUGUGGUGUCCUUCGGGGCCUGCGAUAGGUGGUGCAUGGCUGUCAUCAGCUCGUGUCGUGAGAUGUUGGGUUAAGUCCCGCAACGAGCGCAACCCUUAUCCUAUGUUGCCAGCGCGUAAUGGCGGGGACUCGUGGGAGACUGCCGGGGUCAACUCGGAGGAAGGUGGGGACGACGUCAAGUCAUCAUGCCCCUUAUGUCUAGGGCUGCAAACAUGCUACAGUGGCUGGUACAAAGGGCUGCGAAACCGCGAGGUCGAGCGAAUCCCAAAAAGCCAGUCUCAGUUCGGAUUGAAGUCUGCAACUCGACUUCAUGAAGCUGGAGUCGCUAGUAAUCCCGGAUCAGCAACGCCGGGGUGAAUACGUUCCCGGGCCUUGUACACACCGCCCGUCACACCACGAAAGUUGGCAACACCCGAAGUCAGUGGCCGAACCCCUCGGGGACGGAGCUGCCGAAGGUGGGGUUAGCAAUUGG